GUUUCUGUAGUGUAGUGGUUAUUCACGUUCGGACUAACACGCGAAUGGUCCCCUGUUUGAAUCCGGGCCAGAAACA
rnacentral:tRNA from 1 species